rnacentral:rRNA from 1 species
UGGGGAAUUUUGGACAAUGGGCGAAAGCCUGAUCCAGCCAUGCCGCGUGAGUGAAGAAGGCCUUCGGGUUGUAAAGCUCUUUUAGUCGGGAAGAAAGAGUUGCAAUGAAUAAUUGUGAUUUAUGACGGUACCGACAGAAAAAGCACCGGCUAACUACGUGCCAGCAGCCGCGGUAAUACGUAGGGUGCGAGCGUUAAUCGGAAUUACUGGGCGUAAAGGGUGCGCAGGCGGUCUUGCAAGUCAGAUGUGAAAGCCCCGGGCUUAACCUGGGAAUUGCGUUUGAAACUACAAGGCUAGAGUGCAGCAGAGGGGAGUGGAAUUCCAUGUGUAGCAGUGAAAUGCGUAGAGAUGUGGAAGAACACCGAUGGCGAAGGCAGCUCCCUGGGUUGACACUGACGCUCAUGCACGAAAGCGUGGGGAGCAAACA